rnacentral:rRNA from 1 species
AUUGAACGCUGGCGGCAUGCCUUACACAUGCAAGUCGAACGGUAACAGGUUAAGCUGACGAGUGGCGAACGGGUGAGUAAUAUAUCGGAACGUGCCCAGUCGUGGGGGAUAACGUAGCGAAAGCUACGCUAAUACCGCAUACGAUCUACGGAUGAAAGCGGGGGAUCGCAAGACCUCGCGCGAUUGGAGCGGCCGAUAUCAGAUUAGGUUGUUGGGGAGGUAAAAGCUCACCAAGCCUGCGAUCUGUAGCUGGUCUGAGAGGACGACCAGCCACACUGGAACUGAGACACGGUCCAGACUCCUACGGGAGGCAGCAGUGGGGAAUUUUGGACAAUGGACGCAAGUCUGAUCCAGCAAUGCGGCGUGCAGGUCGAAGGCCUUCGGGUUGUAAACUGCUUUUGUACGGAACGAAACGGUGAGCUCUAAUACAGUUUGCUAAUGACGGUACCGUAAGAAUAAGCACCGGCUAACUACGUGCCAGCAGCCGCCGCUG